UACGAAGGGGGCUAGCGUUGUUCGGAAUUACUGGGCGUAAAGGGCGCGUAGGCGGCCUGCUAAGUCGAACGUGAAAUCCCCUGGGCUCAACCCAGGAACUGCGUCCGAUACUGGUUGGCUUGAAUCCGGGAGAGGGGACGUGGAAUUCCAGGUGUAGCGGUGAAAUGCGUAGAUAUCUGGGAGGGAACACCCGGGUGGCGAA
rnacentral:rRNA from 1 species